rnacentral:misc_RNA from 1 species
GAUGAAGAACGUAGCGAAAUGCGAUACUUGGUGUGAAUUGCAGAAUCCCGUGAACCAUCGAGUCUUUGAACGCAAGUUGCGCCUCAAGCCAUUAGGUUGAGGGCACGUCUGCCUGGGCGUCACAUAUCGUUGCCUGAUGCCAGUUUCCUCGUGAUGGGUGACUGUGCAGGGCGAAUGAUGGCUUCCCGUGAGCAUUGUUGCCUCAUGGUUGGUUGAAAAUUGAGUCCUUGGUAGGGAGCGCCGUGAUAGAUGGUGGUUGAGUGACGAACGAGACCCAAUCAUGUGAGACCCCUACCGAAUUUGGCCUUCAUGACCCACAUGCGUCUUUGGAACGCUCAUGACGAGACCUCAGGUCAGGCGGGGCUACCCGCUGAGUUUAAGCAUAUCAAAAGCGGGGA